ACAAAAGUUUUCCUUUUUGAGAUAAGCAAUGUCGCACAUAAUAAGUAUGCUCAUUUAAUGGAUUUCCCUCAAGUAAGCUAGUUGGGUUUUCAGCAUGAGCAUAAAGGGGUCAAAGAUUAUCCAAGGAAUAAGCUUCAAUAGAAGGAUACAUUUUGGGUGUUUCCUCAAACUUUGGAGCAGCAAGUACAUCUAUUUUUUUGGUGUUUUGCAUUUCCUACCCACAACUAAAGAUAGAAAACAACUAAUAACAG
rnacentral:lncRNA from 1 species